rnacentral:rRNA from 1 species
UACGGGGGGUGCGAGCGUUGUCCGGAAUUACUGGGCGUAAAGCGCACGUAGGCGGAUUUGUAAGUCAGGGGUGAAAUCCCGGGGCUCAACCUCGGAACUGCCUUUGAUACUGCAAAUCUCGAGUCCGGAAGAGGUGAGUGGAAUUCCUAGUGUAGAGGUGAAAUUCGUAGAUAUUAGGAAGAACACCAGUGGCGAAGGCGGCUCACUGGUCCGGUACUGACGCUGAGGUGCGAAAGCGUGGGGAGCAAACAGG